rnacentral:rRNA from 1 species
GAUGAACGCUGGCGGCGUGCUUAACACAUGCAAGUCGAGCGAAGCACUUAUGCGGAAGUUUUCGGAUGGAAGCGUAAUUGACUGAGCGGCGGACGGGUGAGUAACGCGUGGGGAACCUGCCUCAUACAGGGGAAUAACAGUUAGAAAUGACUGCUAAUGCCGCAUAAGCGCACACUGUGGCAUCACAGGGUGUGAAAAACUCCGGUGGUAUGAGAUGGCCCCGCGUCUGAUUAGGCAGUUGGCGGGGUAACGGCCCACCAAACCGACGAUCAGUAGCCGACCUGAGAGGGUGACCGGCCACAUUGGGACUGAGACACGGCCCAA